rnacentral:rRNA from 1 species
CAGCCGCCGCGGUAAUACGGAGGGGGCUAGCGUUGUUCGGAAUUACUGGGCGUAAAGCGCACGUAGGCGGCUUGGUAAGUUAGAGGUGAAAGCCCGGAGCUCAACUCCGGAAUUGCCUUUAAGACUGCCGAGCUAGCAGGUGAGAGAGGUAAGUGGAAUUCCGAGUGUAGAGGUGAAAUUCGUAGAUAUUCGGAAGAACACCAGUGGCGAAGGCGGCUUACUGGCUCAUACUGGACGCUGAGGUGCGAAAGCGUGGGGAGCAAACAGGAUUAGAUACCCGAGUAGUCCUGUCUCUUAUACA